AACGAACGCUGGCGGCAUGCCUAACACAUGCAAGUCGAACGAGACCUUCGGGUCUAGUGGCGCACGGGUGCGUAACGCGUGGGAACCUGCCCUUAGGUUCGGAAUAACUCCCCGAAAGGGGUGCUAAUACCGGAUAAUGUCUUCGGACCAAAGAUUUAUCGCCUUUGGAUGGGCCCGCGUUGGAUUAGCUAGUUGGUAGGGUAAAAGCCUACCAAGGCGACGAUCCAUAGCUGGUCUGAGAGGAUGAUCAGCCACACUGGGACUGAGACACGGCCCAGACUCCUACGGGAGGCAGCAGUGGGGAAUAUUGGACCAUGGGCGAAAGCAUGAUCCAGCAAUGCCGCGUGAGUGAUGAAGGCCUUAGGGUUGUAAAGCUCUUUUACCCGGGAUGAUAAUGACAGUACCGGGAGAAUAAGCCCCGGCUAACUCCGUG
rnacentral:rRNA from 1 species